rnacentral:misc_RNA from 1 species
AGUAGAACGCCAGGCAUUCCAUAGACUUCAUUCAUUUAAUUAGAUCAAAGUUUUGAAUUAGAAGCGGAAAUUCCCUAAUAAUUUGAGGUUGGAGCUAAUAGUGUUGGCAAUUUAGCAGAAGUAACAUAGCAACAGUCCCAUAUCAUCAGAAAGCUUUGCAAGAAUCUGAAACUGGUUUAAAACCAGUGAACGCUCAGGGCUCAAAUGUCAUACUUUCAGCCUCCCGUCUCACUGACUCAAACAGCACAGAAGACAGAUACCUCUCGCCAAAGCUUGGAAACACCACAACAAUGAGUUUUCCAGCA